AUGGUCGCGCGGAGAUCCACCUCGUCGAUGUCGACGUCCGGCCGCAACGGCGGCGCGCCGGGACGCCUCUCCGGCCAGCUGGACUUCCUCCACGGCAUCGUUGGUGCCCUUUCCUCCGUACGCUGGAAGCGCCGACAGGGGAGGCAAGAUUGUAGCUCUGGGCAAGGCAAUAGCAUUCUGGAGGUGGUAUGGGCACCGGUUCUCCUGAUCCACCUGGGAGGGCAGGACCUCAUAACUGCCUACAACAUUGAAGACAAUGAGCUAUGGACGCGACACAUCUUCACCUCUGUAUCUCAGGUCACCGUAGCCAUCUACGUGUUCUGCAAAUCAUGGCCAGGCGGCGACAUGAGGUUAUUGCUGGCAUCAAUCUGUUUAUUCGUCGUGGGGAUCCUCAAAUGCGUUGAGAAACCCCAGGCUCUCAGGAGCGCUAGCAUUAACAGCCUAGUCAGCUCUUCUGGCCCUGCUCUGAGAAGGAACACAGACGGAGAAGGCGGGAUCAAUUCGCUUGAAGACUACGUGAAAAAAGCAAGGGCUUUUGUCCAGACCAACCCCCGUCAUCAAGCACAAGAAGGUGAUGCUCAAGCACAAGGAGAAGACGCUGCCAUGGACAUUGAGGCCGACUAUCAGCCUCGAGCACAUGGAGAAGUUACCACCAUGGAUAUUCAGCCUGACCACCAUCCUCUGUCCUCGAGCACAUGGAAAAGCCGCCUAAACCAAAUAAUAGAAGAAAGAAGCCGCCGUUACAAACAAAGGGUAAAAGAAAUAAAAAGCCUAGUUGAUGACUAUAAUAUGACCCUUGAGGUCUAUAAGCUAUUUCUGGACCUUGCAUCAUCAUAUCAUGAUCGGCUUGCUAUCCUUGAAUUCAUCUGGGUACGUGAUGGAAACCAAGCAUAUGGUUUGUUGCAAAACAGGCUAUCCGGCGCGUUCGAUCUUCUCUACACCAAAAGAAAGAUGUUCAGCCUAAUGGAAAAAAGACGCAAGGAAAACUCAACAAUCUGGGUUUUUCUUUCUGACUGCGUACGUGUAUCAGCUGCAUUUCUGCCAUGGGCAGCCAUCAGCCUCUUCCACAAGAGUCACAGAGAUGCUUAUAAUGCUAACGAUGUGAAGGUUACCUAUGCCUUGUUAUGUUGUACAGCAGUGCUGGAGAUUUGCUCUUCUUGCAUGACCAUGAGAGACCAAGGCUAUGCCGGUUCUGACCAAGGGGAAGCCAGUUCUGGUUCUCGGGUUGCUAAAUAUAAACAGGCAAGAAGAAGAGUUGUGCUGCAUUUAAGAGUAAUUGUUAUCUGGUUCCAGUGUCCACCGAUCAUGGACUGGCUCGCUAACCUUCUUAGGGCACUAAGACAGUUCAGCAGUAAGGCACUCUUAAAUAGCUUUGUAGCCCAAUAUAAUCUGGUAUGGUUCUUUGCAUGUAACAAAAGGCGGUCCUCCUGGAAGAUGCACAUCGCGAAAUUCUUUAACUGCAAGGACUUUGUUGACCAGUAUUGUGGGUCCAUGGUGCCCUGCAACUCAACCGUUGCAAUUACAGAGUUGGUUCUGGAGUAUGUGAAGAAAGGAUGGGAAGAUCAAAUAAAAGAUGCUGACAGUUAUUGGAAGUUCAAUGAUCGCAGGGGCUGGGGGACUCUUCAGGUCAACAAGUGCGACCAAGAGCUGGGCUACAGCUUAAGGAGACCAUUCGAUGAGAGUGUUCUUCUCUGGCACAUCGCCACGGAUUUCUGCUUCUACUACAUUGGCGCAUCAGCAGAUCACCAGUGUGCCACUGCUCAGUGUAUUCAAGAUGCUUCUGGUGAGGGUCAUGGGUGUGCUGUUUGGUGUGAAAGAUCUCCUCAUCAUGAAAGAGCCAAUCGGUGCAGAGAACUGUCCAACUACAUGAUCUACCUACUCUUUAUCAAUCCUGAGAUGUUAUUGCCUGGCACUAGGCGGAAUCUGUUCACAACUGCUAAUGCGGAUCUGGAGGAGAUCCUCAAGGAUGAAAAUACAUCGCUCAAAAAGAUUCUCAAGGACGAGCCUUCACUCAUGGAGAUCUUGGGGAAAAAAGAUUCAAAUAUCUGGAUUAUUUGGAAGGUCUUGUUCGACGCCAAAAGAAAAUGGCGUGAGGAGACCAAAAGAGGACUUGUGCAAACAGUAAUCUCCAAGGUGCAGUCCACAGAAUGCAGUGAAGUUGUCGCAUGCACAAAAUUGUCACCGAAUGCAGAGACAAUCUCCAAGAAGCAGCCCACAGAAUGCAUAGAAUUGCCGUCAGAUGCAGAGAUACUCUCCAAGGUGCAGCCCACACAAGGUUUUAUCAUUGAUGCAUGGAAGCUUGCUGAAGCAUUGUUAGAUUUUGGUGAUGAGAAGAAGAUGUGGGAGGUGAUUGAAGGCGUGUGGGUGGAGAUGCUCUGCUUCUCGGCCAGUAAGUGCCGAGGGUACCUACAUGCCAAGAGUUUGGGCACUGGCGGGGAGCUGCUCACAUAUAUCUGGCUCCUGCUGUCGCACAUGGGGAUGGAGACCUUGCCGGAGAGGCUGCAGAGGGCGGAGUUUUCAAGUGGAGAAGGAAAUGCCGGUGCCUCUUCAUCGACUUCCCAGACAUCUGGGGGCGAAGAUCCACCACCCUUCAGGGACUCAAGGGCUCAUGAAGCUGCUGGUGGUGCAUCUACGUCUCGGCCUCAAGAAAUAGUACCAGCUGAAUAA
rnacentral:rRNA from 1 species